rnacentral:rRNA from 1 species
CCUACGGGCGGCAGCAGUGGGGAAUAUUGGACAAUGGGCGAAAGCCUGAUCCAGCCAUGCCGCGUGUGUGAAGAAGGCCUUCGGGUUGUAAAGCACUUUCAGUGGGGAAGAAAGCCUUGGGGCUAAUACCCUCGAGGAAGGACAUCACCCACAGAAGAAGCACCGGCUAACUCCGUGCCAGCAGCCGCGGUAAUACGGAGGGUGCGAGCGUUAAUCGGAAUUACUGGGCGUAAAGCGCGCGUAGGCGGUCUGAUAAGCCGGUUGUGAAAGCCCCGGGCUCAACCUGGGAACGGCAUCCGGAACUGUCAGGCUAGAGUGCAGGAGAGGAAGGUAGAAUUCCCGGUGUAGCGGUGAAAUGCGCAGAGAUCGGGAGGAAUACCAGUGGCGAAGGCGGCCUUCUGGACUGACACUGACGCUGAGGUGCGAAAGCGUGGGUAGCAAACAGGAUUAGAUACCCGGGUAGUC